AAAUGUUAAAGUAAUCUUCUCUCCCUUCUCUUUCAUAGAGUUUUCAAUUUACUUUACCAAGAUAGGGUGAUCUAUAUAUUAUAAUGGCCAUCAUUCUUAGAGAUGAAUCUUGUAAUACUUACUUACAGUUACCCCAUCCCUGCUGUCCUUCGUUGGUU